rnacentral:rRNA from 1 species
CAGGGAUUGCCUCAGUAACGGCGAGUGAAGCGGCAACAGCUCAAAUUUGAAAUCUGACCCCUUUGGGGCCCGAGUUGUAAUUUGUAGAGGGUGUUUCGGGCGCGGCGCCGGUCUAAGUUCCUUGGAACAGGACGUCAUAGAGGGUGAGAAUCCCGUAUGUGACUGGCGACCAAGCCCAUGUGAAGCCCCUUCGACGAGUCGAGUUGUUUGGGAAUGCAGCUCAAAAUGGGUGGUAAAUUUCAUCUAAAGCUAAAUAUUGGCCAGAGACCGAUAGCGGACAAGUAGAGUGAUCGAAAGAUGAAAAGCACUUUGGAAAGAGAGUCAAACAGUACGUGAAAUUGUUGAAAGGGAAGCGCUUGCAAUCAGACCGGUCCGGGGGCGAUCAGCCGCUGCUCGUCAGCGGUGCACUCGCCCUCGAUCCGGCCAGCAUCGGUUUGGGCGGCGGGAAAAAAGGCCCGGGAAUGUAGCUUCUUUCGGGGAGUCUUAUAGCCCGGGUCGUCAUGCCGCCCGCCCGGACCGAGGACCGCGCUUCGGCUAGGAUGCUGGCGUAAUGGUUGCAAGCGACCCGUCUUGAAACACGGACCAAGGAGUCUAACAUCUAUGCGAGUGUUUGGGUGUCAAACCCAGGCGCGGAAUGAAAGUGAACGGAGGUGGGAACCCUCGGGCGCACCAUCGACCGAUCCAGAUGUCUUCGGAUGGAUUUGAGUACGAGCAUAGCUGUUGGGACCCGAAAGAUGGUGAACUAUGCCCGGAUAGGGUGAAGCCAGAGGAAACUCUGGUGGAGGCUCGCAGCGGUUCUGACGUGCAAAUCGAUCGUCAAAUCUAGGCAUAGGGGCGAAAGACCAAUCGAACCAUCUAG